rnacentral:rRNA from 1 species
UACGUAGGGGGCUAGCGUUUGUCCGGAAUCAUUGGGCGUAAAGAGCGUGUAGGCGGUUCGGUAAGUCCGCUGUGAAAGUCCAGGGCUCAACCCUGGAAUGCCAGUGGAAACUGCCGAGCUAGAGUCCGGAAGAGGCGAGUGGAAUUCCUGGUGUAGCGGUGAAAUGCGCAGAUAUCAGGAGGAACACCAAUGGCGAAAAGCAGCUCGCUGGGACGGUACUGACGCUGAGGGACGAAAGCUAGGGGGAGCAAAACAGG